UACGAAGGGGGCUAGCGUUGUUCGGAAUCACUGGGCGUAAAGCGCACGUAGGCGGUUCUUUAAGUCAGGGGUGAAAUCCCGAGGCUCAACCUCGGAACUGCCUUUGAUACUGGGGAUCUCGAGUCCGGGAGAGGUGAGUGGAACUGCGAGUGUAGAGGUGAAAUUCGUAGAUAUUCGGAAGGACACCAGUGGCGAAGGCGGCUCACUGGCCCGGAACUGACGCUGAGGUGCGAAAGCGUGGGGAGCAAACAGG
rnacentral:rRNA from 1 species